UACGUAGGGGGCUAGCGUUGUCCGGAAUCAUUGGGCGUAAAGCGCGUGUAGGCGGCCCGGUAAGUCCGCUGUGAAAGUCGGGGGCUCAACCCUCGAAAGCCGGUGGAUACUGUCGGGCUCGAGUGCGGAAGAGGCGAGUGGAAUUCCUGGUGUAGCGGUGAAAUGCGCAGAUAUCAGGAAGAACACCCGUGGCGAAGGCGGCUCUCUGGGACGGUACUGACGCUGAGACGCGAAGCGUGGGGAGCGAACAGG
rnacentral:rRNA from 1 species